GCAUGUGAAUGCUGUCUGACUGCAAGGUGAGUGACUUCCAUUUAUCCCCAGCCAUGAUUUGGCUGAUCUGGCCAGCUACAAGGCAGAGCUUUGUCCUUCCUUUAUGUAUCACAUCUAAAUUUCAUGUCAGGAAAGACUUCCCUGAAAUAGAAAAACAGUUCUUUAGGUGGGUAUAAGAGGAGGUGUCCUCCAAGAAUAUCCAGAUGAGCUCUCAAAGAGCAUUUGUAAAAGACAGAAGAGUCACACUUCCAACUAUGAGUGAAAACUGAAGUU
rnacentral:snRNA from 1 species